UAGCACACAUGGGGCCUGCGUGGACUGUGGCAGAAGUCAGCAGUGGCCGUAGUACCAGCCGGGAUCUUGUGGGUGGCUGGGAAGGGC
rnacentral:ncRNA from 3 species